CGAAGCAGCUUCGGCAGGCAAAAGAUUGCAGUCGCUGUCCCUGAACAAGUAAAGGUUGGCCGCCCGGGAUAGUGACUUGGCGACAGCGGGAAGCGCAACCAGCAAACUCUCUUGAUAUGCGCCGCAGGUUGAAACCAAGGCAGAUUGUAAAACGAAACUUGUAUAUUUGGCUGAAUAAAGUUUAAAUUAUCGUAAA